rnacentral:rRNA from 1 species
GACGAACGCUGGCGGCGUGCUUAACACAUGCAAGUCGAACGGAAAGGCCCUGCUUGCAGGGUACUCGAGUGGCGAACGGGUGAGUAACACGUGGGUGAUCUGCCCUGCACUUCGGGAUAAGCCUGGGAAACUGGGUCUAAUACCGGAUAGGAGCCAUUUUUAGUGUGAUGGUUGGAAAGUUUUUUCGGUGUAGGAUGAGCUCGCGGCCUAUCAGCUUGUUGGUGGGGUAAUGGCCUACCAAGGCGGCGACGGGUAGCCGGCCUGAGAGGGUGGACGGCCACAUUGGGACUGAGAUACGGCCCAGACGCCUACGGGAGGCAGCAGUGGGGAAUAUUGCACAAUGGGCGCAAGUCUGAUGCAGCGACGCCGCGUGGGGGAUGACGGCCUUCGGGUUGUAAACUCCUUUCGCUAGGGACGAAGCUUUUUGUGACGGUACCUAGAUAAGAAGCACCGGCUAACUACGUG